GAGCUUUUCCAAGCGAACCGUCGCUUUUCAGUCUUUCUUCGCACCGCGUAGUCCAGAAAACGUCGCCGUUUCUUUCAUCCCCCGGCCCCCUCACUGCCGUGUCCGCGUGGAGCUGCUGUGACAAAGAACCUUUGCGGUUCGGUAUCCGGCAGUCCAGGCCUCUGCCAGGCCUCUGGCGAACCCAACGAGCAAGCUCUGCGGACGAUCUUUCUGGACCCCUUCGCGGCUGCGCGCCACUGACCCAGCAAAGCCAUGAGUGAAUUGCCAUUGAUAAAGACAAGUGGACCUCUGAUGGACUCACUUGAUGGACCACUGAAUCCGGAAUGGCCGGACGCACCCCCGAUGUCUCGACCGCCUGUAGACGUCGUCCGUAACCAGCCCG